GGUGUCGUGGUGUAGUUGGUUAUCAUGUCGGUCUAACACACUGAAGGUCUUCAGUUCAAGUUUGAGCGACACCA